GUUUUUUUAGAAAUAAAUUUAAUUUACAAAUUUUUGAUUUUUUGGUUAUUUAUUUAAUUGAAAAAUUUAUUUAUUUGAAUAUUUUAGGGGAUAAGCUUUAAAAUAAAUUAUUAAAAAUUAAUAGUAGUAAUAUAAAAUGUAUGCUUAGAAUUAGCAGUCAUUAUAAAGUUUGUUAUAAAUUAUUUUAUAAAUUAUAUUAUUUAUUAUAUUUUAAUUUAUUUAUAAAAAUUUUUUUAUUAAUUAAAUAUAAAAAGGAAUAAUGAUAGAAUUAGUAUAUUUUUUUUGUUUAUGUAAUUUUAUGUGAUAAGUUUAUAUAAAGAACUCGGCAAAAAUUUUACCCGCCUGUUUAACAAAAACAUGUCUUUUUGAGUUAUUUUUAAAGUCUGACCUGCCCACUGAAGUUUAUUUAAAUGGCCGCAGUAUUCUAACUGUGCAAAGGUAGCAUAAUCAUUAGUCUUUUAAUUGAAG
rnacentral:rRNA from 1 species